rnacentral:lncRNA from 1 species
ACUUGUUUGUUUUCCAAUUUUUCACAGACAACACAAUAUCUAAAAAAGGGUCACCAAAGGCAUCGGAGAACAAAUCAAAACCAUACCUAGCCGGUAGCCGCCGCACAACCACCGUUACUACGAUACCACCACUGAAACGGCACCACCGCCAUUAGUUUAUUUUUGUAACCACAUUUCUUGUUUUUCAUCUCUCUCUAUAAACAUUAUACCGUUCAUUAUCCAUCACCACAACCAUCCUCGGCCCCGCCCAUCUUUCUUCUACUUCUCCUUCACCGUCCCUGCCGCUGCCCCACCACCACGCUACCGCCGUAGCAAAAACGUUGGAUUUUUGUGGCUCCCCUCCGUAACCGGCCAUCUAAAUUAUUCCGGCCGGAGAUCUCUGGUGGUGGCGGGAGUUAUAUAGGGUGUAAAACAACGGCAAACGACGGGGAAACAAUUGUUGGAGGAGACGCGUUGGUUUUUUUCCGAAAGGGUGCGUUGCUCUGGUUGGCACUUGGCAACCGUAAAGUUGUGACGGUUUUUUUUGUGAAAGUUCUGUUGUUUUUUUUUUCUUUUGAAAGUUCUGUUGGUUUAUUUCAUGUUUUUGUCUGGCGCGUCGUUUUGGAUGUAAAAGCCCGAUUGUUUAGCAUGUUGACUGCUUCGGGUUGUAUGCACCGUCCUAUUGUUUAACAUCAAGGAUGAUCGGAGGUGAUACUGUUAAGGGAACGAAUGGUGGUGAAACAUGCGGAUCUUUAAAUAUCUUCGAUAAGGGUAACUUUAAAUGAAGCGGUGUCUUAGAGCAUUCGCAUUCUAACCAUCAAAUUAUGUGAGGAGGGGUUUUUAUAUUAUAAAGGGUAUAAAAAGUGGUUGUGAGUAGAGGAGAGAGAAAAUGUUACUAUUCAUCUGUAUAUUUGGGGGGACACUGUUCACCCGUUAUAAUUUUUUAAUAUAUUUUGAAAGUGGUUGUGAAUGGAAGUUAGAGAAAAAUGUAAUGAUAAUAUUAUUUAAUUGAAAGGAGAGAGAAAAAGUAUUUGU